ACCUAAACAAUUUUGAGUUGAUCAAGCUGGGUCACGAAGAAAGAGGAAGCCAAUAAAAGGCAAAGUUGACUGGCCUGAAGGUGGCUUUUGAAACACCAGAGGUUGCACAGAUGCACAGAAGUCUGAACCCGUCCUCUCCAAUUCCUCCAUCCCCAAGGGAACCAGCCACCUCCCCUCUUUUCACUUCCACAUACGAUACUCAGCCUUCAGGUGACUUUGUGGUGACUUAACUCGGUUCCUAAUCACUGGACAAUGUGGAGAUGAAAACAGCCUGAGGCCGGCUGCUCUCCGCCCUAAUUGCCACGCUGUCUAUCUGACAAAGCCCCAUCAGGCUCUGCAGGAAAGUAGCUGAAAUCCUGGAAGUCGAUUCCAAAGGACACAUGACCCAAUUAUGCUACUGGAGUGAGAGGGAGAAAGGAGCUAGAAGGAGCGGGGUGGAGGCCCUCCUUGGAGUUUCUUGGAAGCCUAGACUACAUGAAGAAAGACCUUGGAAGAGACAAGGAAAAAUUAAAACAUCUCCAUCCUAAGCAGGGCUCAGAGACCCCUGGUGUCUCCUGGACUCUUCCCUUUCAAAAUAAGUGAAAGAACUUUUUUUUUUCCUUGAAGACUUUCACAGACUCAAAAAUCAGACCACACUGAAGAGCUGCCUGCAAAAAUAAUGGUUUUUCCUGACAUUUUAAAGCAGCACAAUUUAACAACUCAAUGUUUCAUUUGACAUUUAAGAAGUCAUCCGUCUCCAAGAAGCUGAUUGGCAAGGCUUCUGGGUUCCAGGAAUUAGCAAAUACAUCGUGCAUGAGAACAGAGCUAUGAGAGUCCAAAACACUCUUGAAAAAGCAAGUCCAAGACGGGGUGGAGAAGCCAGUUAUUACCCACUCUGAGCUGGACCGCCAGCAAGCUCUCUGGAAUAUCAACAGUAUGCCUGCCAAGACAGCAGCCAAAGGAAGCAGCCAGUACUGACUAUAGACUCAAGCCAGAGAGAGCAGAGCCAAAGACAAUCUGGCUGAAGGAGGAGAGACGACAAGAUGAUGAGGCUGGUGAGUAUCCAACACCAAGAACAUUUAACCUUUUGUUAUCACCACAUGUGGUUUUCCUGUAGACUCUUUUUUUUUAACUUUUAUUUACUUAUUUUGAGGCAGGGUUCCAAGUAGCUCAGAUUGGUCUUGGAUUUAAGACUGCCAUGUGGGUGCUGGGAAUUGAACCCGGGUCCUCUGGAGGAGCAGCCAGUGCACUUUACCACUGAGCCAUUUCUCCAGCCCUGGAUUGAGUAGUUUAAAUUUAUAGUGGACACUACUCUCAGUCUGUAUUUUCUACAUUGACUCUUUUUCAAUUUGUAUUCAUUUAUUUAAUGAGUAUAGGCAUCUGCCUGCAUGUAUUCUUUAUGUGCCACAUACAUGUCUGGUGCCGGAGGAAGCCAGAACAUGACAUUGGAUUCCCUGGAACCGGAAUACAAACAAUAUAAGCCAUCAUGUGGGUGCUGGUGAUCGAACCUGGACCCUCUGAAAGAACAAUCAGGACUCUUAACUCUUGAGAUCUCUCUCUAGCACCCGUGUUGACUUUGUUCUGAUUUUCGAGACAGGAUUUCUCCAUGUAGCCCUGGCUCACUCUGUAGACCUUGUGCAUACAAGAGGCCUUGAACUCCAUGAGCAUACAGGAGGCUACAGAGGCCAGAAGAGGGCAUCAGAUACCCUGGAACUGGGGUUAGAGGCAGUUGUGAGCUGCUGUUAUGUACUGGAAACUGAAUCCAGGUCUUAUGCAAGAACAAUAAGCUCUGUAACCAUUGAGCUAUUUCUUUGACCCCUGCACUUUGAAGUUUUAACCUCAAGUGCAGAGGACCUAAUUAAUUAUAUCCUUGACUUCACAUACCCUGAGACCAUUAGCUUCUUCUAUCCUCCGCCCUGUCCUUUUUGCCUAAGGCUCCACAUCGAAGGCCAAGCCCAACUGAUGACUUGGAUAGACAUGAUUUUGAGGUCUACUUACUUCUGUGAAAUACAGUAUGUGCAUAUGUGUGUGUGUGUGUGUGCAUACAUAGCGUUUUUCUGUAAAACUGCAUUCCCCCCUCUAAUAGACUGUAAAUGUCUACCCCCCACUACAGUGUGUUCAUGUAGUUUUAUGCUUUUAAUAGUUGGAUUACAUCACUUACUCUUUCUUCUGGCCAGUCCCUUAGAUUGCAACACCAUGACCUUCCUCAGCUAUCACUAUAAAAUGAUGCUGGAAUAAACAUCCCCACUGUAAACUGAAGUUUCCACACAGAGCCACACCUUUGUUAACGAUUCUCCAAGGUUGACUGGCCGAUUAGAAUUUAUGUCUGUGGACAGUUGGAAUGUUGCAGAACCGGAAACAAAUCACCUUGAUCUUAUCUUUAGUCUCCUUAACAAUCACUUGUCACCUACUUCUAUGUCUAACCUAACAUCUUCCUGACUAUUAGACAAAUUAUUUUGGAAUGUGAUAACAAACUCUUUAACUUCCACACCCAAAAGCUAACGAUGCCAUCAGGCAAUAUCUGAAAUUGCCGACAGAGAGCUCCCUAUGGUGGUUCAACUACCUGUCAACUUGACAGCCUAGAAUCACAUGACAAGGGAGUCUUCAUUAGGAAUUAUCUAGAUCUGAUUGGCCUUUUGACAUGUUUGUGUGUGGUUGUCUUGAUUAUUAAUUGCUAUAGAAGGCCCAGCCCAUUGUGGGUGGCAUCAUUCCCUAGGCAAGGAAUUCCAAAUAGUGUAAGAGAACCAUCAAGAAAGCAAUCAAAUCAUGCGUGUAUCCAUCUUAUCUCUGCUUUCGACUGUGGAUAUGAUGCCAUGUUCCUGACUUGCCUUCCUUGCAAUAAUGGACCCAGCUAAAUAAAUCCAAAUGAACCCCU